rnacentral:rRNA from 1 species
GNGGAUAUAUUUGGUCAAUGGGCGCAAGCCUGAACCAGCGACGCCGCGUGCGGGAUGAAGGGGCUUUGCCUCGUAAACCGCUGUCGGGUGGGACGAAAGGUAGCUUUGAGCUACUGGGACGGUACCAUCAAAGGAAGGAUCGGCUAACUACGUGCCAGCAGCCGCGGUAAUACGUAGGAUCCGAGCGUUGUCCGGAGUUACUGGGUGUAAAGGGUGCGUAGGCUGUUCUGUGCGUCAGAGGUGAAAUCCACGAGCUUAACUCGUGGGGUGCCUUUGAUACGGCAGGGCUUGAGUACGAGAGAGGUGCGUGGAAUUCCUGGUGUAGCAGUGAAAUGCGUAGAUAUCAGGAGGAACACCGGUGGCGAAGGCGGCGCACUGGCUCGUAACUGACGCUGAGGCACGAAAGCGUGGGGAUCAAACAGGAUUA